CCAUAGGCGCUCUCUCUCUCUCCACUUUCUGUUGUUGUUUGUGGAGAGAGAGAGAGAGAGAGAGAGGGCACAAGUAGUACAGAGAGCAUCGUCGUCGGCAAUGAACUCCAGCACAGGGACGUCGGCGGGGGGAGGAGGAGGAAAGUGAAGAUCAUGGCCGUCAACGACAUCGGUGUUGGCUUAUAUGUCCGACCUCAACCUCAACCUCAACCUCAACCCUCCUUCCUAUUGCUUCGCCGGCCCCAAAGGCGACAGUCUCUAUCACUGGGUCGCCACCCUCAUUGGUCCUUCUGGAACACCUUAUGAAGAUGGCAUCUUUUUUCUUGACAUAACAUUUCCGAGUGAAUAUCCUUUCAAACCUCCAGAGGUUCAGGACUGCUGGUGGUGUUCAAAACUCGUAUCUACCACUGCAAUGUUGAUUCUGCUGGCAACGUUAGUUUAGACGAGUCCGGAUCAUCUCCUUGCAAGUCCUCCUUGCAACGGCUGAGAUCAGCUGUUGCACAUCCAACGGCCAUAAAAAAAAAUAUAUAAAAAAAAAAAAAAAAAAAAAAAAAAAAUUGAAAUUACACUUUCCCGCUCAAAAGAAAACACAGUCUAUACCGGCGAACCCACCCUCAGAAUUGAAAUUUCGUUUGGAAUCAGAAGCACAAAAACACACAGUCAUUCCUUCUUCUCCAUUGAACCCACCCUCAUCGGCGACCCAAUACCGGCGGCGACCCAGUCUCGACGCCGUUGCAAGGACCGACGACGGUGAAACUAGAGGUGAACAAUUUGCGGGAGAUGUAUGUAGUGCCAAAUUCAAUGCCUCAAUAGUAUUCUGCUUAACCAACAUUCCAGUCACUACUUCAAGGUUCAUGUGGAUAUGACAUUGCGUUUUGAUAUUCUCAAGAAGCAAAUAGUCUAAUGUGUAGUUAGGCUAUGGACAAGCAGAAACAGAAGCAAACUGAUGCUAAAAUUGGGCAAGAAAGUGAAGUCAUAGCAGCUGAAAUUGUGAAGCAAACUGCUGCUGGAAAGUAAUGUUGCUGGUAUGAAGCAAACUGUGGAGCAAUGUGUGUUCAAAUAUUAAUGGCUUGUAUGUGUGUUCAAAGCAAACUGUGAGGUAAUGUGUGAAGCAAACUGCUUGUAUGUGUUGAAAUGGACCAAUGUGUUAAUUUUUUGAUGGACCAAUGUGUUAAUUUAGAUAGACCAAUGUGUUAAUUUAGAUGGACCAAUGUGAGCAAACUUCAGUUGAUGUUAAUUUACUGUUGAUGGUAAUUUACACAGCUUUUUCAUUUGUUUGAAAAAUUAUCCCAUCUGGUUCUGCGGGUUCUGUUCUC